CUGCUUAUGCUUCUUCCCGUUCACAACAAAAAUCAAAACAGACGAAAAAUCAAAAACCGACAAAACAGACAAUAAUCAAAACAAUCAAAAAUCAAAAAGGAAGGCUAGGACCUGAAAGUUUUUAUUUGUUUUCUCUGAAUUUUCAGAACAUAUACAUGUAAAUAGUCUCUAUUUUAAAAGUUAAUUGGAUUGAGCUUAAGCAAAACGAAAACGUCUCGUGUUUCCUCUUUGCGAUUCUGAGUUCUUCGUUUCAAUCUUUGAGUUCGAUUGAGGUUGAGCUGAGUUCGAGUUUGUCGACGAGAUUUGAGUUCCUCUGGCGAAUUCCGAGUUCGUUGAAGCUGCAUUAGUCUAAGAUUUCGGGCAGAUUCGCGGGUCUAGCACGAUGUUAUUGUGGAAGUAUGUUCUGCUCCUUCUAGGUACAAUGUUCCUGGGAUCUUCUUCUUUAGAUAUAUGAUGACUUUGCAGCGUUUUUUGGUUUAUAAUGUUGUUAAAUGAAGUAUUGUGGAAGAUCUGCGUUGUUCUAGUUAUGAGUUCAAUCUUCAUUAACUCUAUAUUCUAAUGGCUACUUAAUAAUUUUAAUCUCUAUUUCAGAUUUCUGUUCGUUUUCUAUUAUUUUUUCCUAUCCCUUUACUAUUAUUCUUCUUCAAUGUCAUUUUUGGGUUUAUCAUUUUGUUUUUAAAUAAUUUUAUUAGGAGUAGGAUGGAUUUAAUGGCAUAAUAUUACAAAAUGCAUCUAAUAUUCUUGAUUUUAGGUUGGUUUGUAGCAAUAAAGUUUGUAUCUUUUGGUAAUACGGAGAAAGAUGGAAUCCUAGUUGUUAUUUACUGACAACGAUAAAAGACAUUCACAGUUAAUGUAGUAUUGCCAAUUCUAAAAAAAUCAUCGUGAUUGUGUACACGUUCGCGUGACAUAAUUAUGAUUCUAAAAAUAAAUCGAGGUAUGCGUCGGCGCAACUUCGGCCAAACUCUCUUAAUAAUUAAUAAAGCGCUAUUAAUAGUGGAAACGUACGCGUGACAUGAUUUUUGACGUGCCAAACAAAUGGGUACGCGUACGCGUGACCCGUUUCAAGAUAAUUUCUUAAUUAAAUGCACAUAGGUUCUAAAAUAAGUAAUUAGACAAUUUUAUUAAUCCAAGUAUGAUCAAAGCGACCGUGCUAAUAUCACGGAACCUGGAAAUGCCUAACACCUUCUCCCAAGUUAACAGAAUUCCUUACCCGGAUUGCUGUGUUCACAGACCAUAAAUAGGAGUCAAUUUCCUCGAUUCGGGAUUUUAAACUGGUGACUUGGGACACCAUAAAUUAUCCCAAGUGGCGACUCUAAAUUUAAUUUAAAUAAUCCCAUUUUGAUUGUCAUUUAAAUUGAAAAAAAACUCUCUUAUACUCCCUUCCGAGAUAGUAAAAAGGAGGUGUGACAGCUCUGACGACUCUGCUGGGGAGAAGAACCCAAAAUCCCUGGUUCAGGGUUCAAGAAUUCGAGCUUGUUUUUGUGAUUGUACUUGAUUUUAUUUAUUAUUAAUAUUACUGUAUUUUGUGAACCUUUGUGCUAAUUUCUGUCUAUCUACCAUUUUGAUAUUAUUUGAAUUGUAUAUAACUGACUUCUUACGCCACCCUUCUGAGUCUUCUGAAAAUGUUGCACACGUUCGCGUGACCCACUUUUUCUGUAGAAGUUAUACCAAAUUGAACGAAGCUGGGCCAGCAACAAGGCCGGGUAGACUUUAGUGCUCCCGGUACGUUGCCCCCUCUUCAGCUCGAGUUGCCCGCUCGGGUAAGCCAGAUCAAGAACACAACCCUGAGUUUAAACUUAGAAUAACAUAACCUCAUGACGGAUCACUAGUAGAACGUUUGUUUGCAUCACGUGCAUUCGACUUUGGGGACUCAACACAGGGGUUGGGUCUGUCUAGGACAUAUGUACCCAAAAUAACAGACCAUCUUGAUUCAUCCUAUGUGUUAUAUGUUGCAUGUCCUCAAGGGUAAAAGGGUCAUUUGGUGGACCAAUGAUAGUUGAGGGUAAAUGAAAAAAAAAAGAAAAAAAAGAGGGUGAAGUGUGAAAAUAAAGCAGACAGGGCCCAGUUAUGUUUUUCUUUCACAUUUCUUUUAAGAAAAAGACCAAAAAAAAUAUUGAAAAAUCCAUACAGAUUUUGCACUUUCCCAUCAUUUUUCAAAAAAAAAAGGGAAAAGAAAAUUCAAAAAGAGUUUACAUGUUUCAUCAUUUUUCAAAAAAGGACAAAAGAAAUAUUUUUUUCUCUAAAUUAGUUGUUUUUUCAAUUCUCGCCAUAUCCAAUCUACCCGAACUACGCAUACCUAAUUCUCGUCUUCCAAGACGUGAUACAUAGGCAACUCAUAUUGAGUUUGGUCUUCUUAGUAAGUCUUAGGUUCUUGGCUUCAUGGGGUCAUAGCCAAAUCUUGCAUGUCUAGCUACUUUUGGCCACAUCGAUCAUUUUGCAAAAUAUGGUUUUUUUCGCAAAGUAGUUUGUUUAAUUGUGUCUGGAGAGUCUUCAAUCCACAAUUAGGUAUCUCUUUACUUUAAGGUUUGUCCUUGUCGAAUUUGCAUGUCUAGCCGCUUUUUGGCCACAUAGACCGUUUUGCAAAAUAGAGUUAUUUUUGCAAAAGUUGUUCAAUUAACCCAUGUCUUAGAGUCCUAAGUCCACAACAAGGUGUCCUCUCUAUUUAGGGUUCCAUUCUGUUAAAUUUGCAAUGCUUAGCCGUUUUCUGGCCACAUAGACCAUUCUUACAAAAUGGGUCAUUUCGGUUAAGUGAUUUUUCAUGUCUUUGAGGUCACCUCUGUCAAGUUUGCACUAAUAGCAACUUUUGGCCACAUAGGCCAUUUUGUAAAAAUAGCUUCAAUCAUGUCAUGCAUGUGCCCGAUAGAAAGUUUUAUUGUCUCACAUAGUAUUCUAAAUCUUUAACCCUAUUUGGUUUUAGUUUUUUCAUAUAGGUGUGGAUCUACUUACCGGAGUUUGAGCAUGACAGACACCCCAGGACCAUCCAGUCAGGAUUGCUGCUCAGGAGCUGGCUAAAGGAGACUUUUUAUGUUUUGAGUUGGAUUUUUUUUAUGUUGUCUUGUACUUUAUAGUCAUGUUUAGCAGUACUGAUUCUUUUAGUUGGUGUCAGAGUUUGUCGUAGUAUAAUUGGGUUUGUCAAGUCUUCCGUUAUUGUAUUUCCCGUUUUAUAUUUGAAAAUCGAAAAAUGUUGUAAUUG
rnacentral:lncRNA from 1 species